rnacentral:rRNA from 1 species
AUGGGGUCCAACGAGGCUAACAAGCCGCUGCGGCGGAUCGGUGCGUCGUUCGAGCAGCUCGCGGCCGUCGCCAAGCCGCAGCAGCAGCCCGCUAUGGCGGCGGGGGACUUCUCGCGUGCCUGCUCCAACGUAUCCGUCCUCUUCGGCUGCCUCGGCAUCGCCUUCAAAUUUUCCGAGAUGGACUACGUCGCCAAGGCAAGCGGCCGCUCCUCAGCCCCCCUCUCCUCCCCCGCUACCUGCUCUUUUUGA